GUGAUUGUAGCUCAAUGGUAGAGCUCCUGAUUGUGGUUCAGGUGGUUGUGGGUUCAAAUCCCAUCAGUCACC
rnacentral:tRNA from 1 species